CGCGUCUUUCGCGGAUAUUUGUGAUCAAACCGCAGCUUAGAUGACACCGAGCGACUCGAGCUGCAAGGAAAAAAAAAAAGGCGGCCUCUGAUGUAUUUUUAGACGGGCUAAAUAAUGAAUGCCUGAAACGACUGCGAGGACCACGCCUGCCAAAGCCUCACCUGAGCUCCUUUUGAAGGAGUCGCUCUCUGAUUUUGGUGAUGAAACCGCUCGGCUACAAACGCGUUGAUUUGCAUCGUCAAAGCAGGGAGCCGCUUGCUUUUCAAAAGAAAACGUUCGAGGCAGAUGGCGGCGGCGGCGGCGGCGGCCUAUCUUCCAGGUACAGAGAGCGAGACGGCCACGCUUGUCUCUUGUAUGAACGCUACGGUCAGCGAGUGGCAGCCGGAGAUACGGCGAGGUAAUCUCUCGCCCGACUCGGCCCGGGCGAGAAGCCCGUGUCAGGUGUCGGGUAAGGCGCGAGCUAGAGAGACAGUGCGUGGAUGGAAGCGGAAGACGGUUAACCGCGGCGCAUUGCGGCCGUAUCAUCGUGUCAACGGGGGCGACUGCAGAAGCUCCACCGAGGGCCUCGUUCUGCCUCCCGCUGCUCCCGAGCUCGUCUCGCUUGAGGAUUCUGACGGGAGGAGUCUGAGGCUCCGGGUGAUAAGAACUCCGCUCACUUAGGAGCGUGAAUGAGCCUCUCCAAAACUUGGGUCCAGUCUGGAGACGGAUUGCCCGCAAACUGCCAACGCAGACGAGAUUACCGACUGAUUACUUGAUGAGUCAGAGCUGGCCCGGACCUUCAUGGGGUGUUCAGGGACACCGACCGAGUACACGUUUCUUUUUAAUGGAACUUUGUUUUUCCUCAGUACAAAAAAAAAAAAAAAAAAAAUUAAAAAUGAUGCAACUCUGUUGACUGUAAAUUGCUCGUUGGGGGAGGAAAGUGGGGGGGUGGGUUGUUCGCUUGUACUUUCUCCGUCAAGAGUCCCGGUUUUCCAAUCCAACGUUUUUAUCGAAACAUAUUGACUUACGUGAGCUGAAGCCAGUGAACUGAUCCGGGUUGACAGUUAUUAUAAUUGCGUUACAACGGAGGACGGAGGAGUCGGACAGCGCAAUUGUUUGCUUUGUCCCGGUCCGGUCUGGCAUUCCUGAUAUUAUUUGCCGUCUGGUGAAUAGGUUCUGUCGCAUCAAUUCCCCGUUUGAUCCAUCACUCUGCUCAACGUGACUGGUCACAUGGGAAGAAGUGCUUCUCAAAUCGGACUGGGAAUUUCUCCCAAAACCCAGUUCCAAUCCAGACCGUCGCUCAGUCGUAGCGUUCGUUUCUUUGCUUUGCCCACUUUCUCUGGCGCUUUAAUGGGAAAAAGGCUCGCGGUACGAGUCCAUUUUUUUUGUUUUUGCAGUACCGAUGCCGUUGAAAACGUCCCGUUUCCAAACAUUUUUGCCGCGACUGGUCGGACAGCAGACGAAUUGGUCCCAUCUACUCCGGAGUCGAUGUUCGUAAUCGCAUGAGGCGGCUGCCGGCCUCGGCCGGGGGACGCGGGGGACUCCCCUUUUCCCGGCAAAAGCUGGCCGAUGGCCAAAUGUCUGCAUGUGGAGGCCGCCGCUGGUCGUAUGGAACCGUUAAGUCCGUGACAAAAUUAUGAUGUUGUUUCAUGUUUGUUUACGGUAAAUUGUUGUGGUUGGCUCUUCACAAAUGUAGCUAUUCAUUGAAAAACCACUAGCAUAUUUUUAUGCUCUCUUUUUUUUUUGCCCUCAGAUGUUCCCAAAGCCCCGCCUAGUAGGAAAGUCGUAAUUCGUGUCAAGGUAGAACGUUGAAGUGAUACGUCCCAACUGCGAGACUACGUUGUUAUGGAGAGUCUACAAAUGUUUUUGCGCCGUUUAAGAUAACGGAAGAGAAAUUGGGAAGCUACGUGAUGUCAGCGGCAAUGCACAUUUUUAUUAGAUAAGGACAUGGUGUGGACUAAAAGAAACUCCUCUUCAAGGUGCCACAAGGUGGUGCCAAAGCAUUACUUGUAUGUCAGACAUGGCUUUGGCCCAGGCAAAAAAAAACAAAACAAAACUGCAAAUGAAUUUUUCUAUGAAAAACAAAAGAAGAAGUAAGUCUCUCCCCCCCCCCCCC